rnacentral:rRNA from 1 species
AUGAGCGACCUCGGGCUGCUGAGCUACUACCUCGGCAUCGAGGUGCACCAGGGGGGUGACGCGAUCACCCUCAAGCAAGCAAGCUAUGCGUCCAAGAUCGUGGACAAGGCCGGACUGGCGGACUGCACUCCAGUUCAGAUCCCAAUGGAGCCACGGAUGAAACUGAGCAAGGAGAGCUCGAAUCCACCAGUGGACAGGAAACUCUACCGCAGCAUUGUGGGUAGCCUUCGCUAUCUGGUGCACUCGCGGCCGGACAUCUCCUAUGCAGUCGGUUUCAUCAGCAGGUUCAUGGAAGCGCCCACGACAGAACACUGGGCGACGGUGAAACAGGUGCUGAGGUACGUUGCAGGCACCCUGAAUUUUGGGUGCAGAUACAAGAAAGGAGAAGUGGAACCUCAGCUGGUUGGGUACAGUGACGCAGACUUUGCCAGAGAUGUUGAUGACAGAAAAAGCACAUCCGGGACUAUGUUCACUUUUGGGGGAAGCGCGAUCAGUUGGCAAUCCCAGAAGCAGAAGGUGGUCGCUCUUUCAUCCUGCAAGGCCGAGUACAUGGCGGCAACUGCAGCCGCGUGCACUCGCGUCUGGCUCCGGCGAAUGCUUGGCGAUCUACUAGGUGAUCCGGGAACGGCAACUCCACUUCUCAUUGACAACAAGUCGGCAAUCCAACUCUGCAAGAACCCUGUCUUCCACGACAGGACCAAGCACAUCGAGACGCGGUUUCAUUUCAUCCGCGAGUGCAUUCAAGAUGGGAGGAUCGUCGUCGACCAUAUCCACACCGGCGAGCAGUUGGCGGACAUCAUGACCAAGGCACUGCCUCGAGUGAAGUUUCAGGAGCUGCGGGCGAAGCUGGGCAUGAUCAACAUCAGCAACUGA